rnacentral:rRNA from 1 species
AGUUUGGGCCCUUUUGGGAGGGGCCUGCGCUGGAUUCCGGUAAUUGGGGGGGGGCGUAUGCCUACCCAGCGGACGACCCAUAGCUGGUCUGAGAGGACGACCAGCCCCAGGGGUACUGAGACACGGACCCCACUCUUACGGGAGGCAGCAGUUAGGAAUCAUCCGCAAUGGGCGAAAGCCUGACGGAGCGAUACCGCUUGUAGGACGUAGCCCUUCGGGGUGUAAACUUCUGAACUGGGGACGAUUAUGACGGUACCCAGGUAAUAGCACCGGCUAACUCCGUGCCAGCAGCCGCGGUAAUACGGAGGGUGCAAGCGUUACCCGGAUUUACUGGGUGUAAAGGGCGUGUAGGCGGUCUCUCAAGUCCGAUGCUAAAGACCAAGGCUCAACCUCGGGAGUGCGUUGGAUACUGUGAGGCUAGACGGUCGGAGAGGGUAGCGGAAUUUCCGGAGUAGCGGUGAAAUGCGCAGAUACCGGAAGGAACGCCAAUAGCGAAAGCAGCUACCUGGACGAUUUGUGACGCUGAGGCGCGAAAGCGUGGGGAGCAAACCGGAUUAGAUACCCGGGUAGUCCACGCCCUAAACGUUGAGUGCUGGGUGUCCGACAUCUGUUGGGUGCCGUAGCUAACGCGUUAAGCACUCCACCUGGGAAGUACGGUCGCAAGACUGUCGUCG